CCAGAGAGGGCACAUGUGCCUCAAUUGGCCUAUAGCAUAGCGGCUCAUUAUCCUUCCACCGCUGGUGGCGGGCGAUACACGCUGCUCUAUGAAGCCAGCCUCACGAAAUGUCCGCCACUUUAGGUCUUGGGAUGCAAAGGCUUUCGCCAAGGCACCCGAAACCCACUACACAACUUGGAAUGGGUGGUCCACAGUUUGUAGCACUAGACCCAGGCACAUGCACCACAAUUGACAUCCACACUACCUUAUUGCCCCCGCUCGGGUUACAAGCAAUCGCUACUUGCUCAGCGAGUGAGGGGGUUCAGGACUAUCUAUUUAAGGUGGUGUUGUACUCUAUGAGCCGGCGGUGUGGUAUUUACCAACAACAAAUAGUAUCAUGCAUGUGAUUUGCUAGUUGACAAAGUCUGUUGUCGAGCUAGAUAUGGGCCAUGGAUGAAGAACAUUAGGAUAUAGUAGGCCUAUUUUGUUUUUUGUUGUUUUUGGGCCACUAUGGACUUUAUGUUGAUGUUGUGAAAUUUUUUCUUGUGUUCCCUCUUCCUAUGAAGUGGAAAGUGGCUGCGUCAGAGAAGAAAGAAAGAGUGGUAAGCAUUGAUUUUACAUCAUCCCAUUGAGAACAGUAAUCAAAAGCAGAAGCAACAAUAUUUCAUACAUAUACAACAAUUGUAAUCCAUAUAAACAACUUUCCUUUAAAAUAUAAUAUAAACCACAUGCUUUAUAUCCUAGGUCAGAUAUCCCCAUAAUAGGAUAUGUUUUUUGCAAUGCAAGGUAAAGUGUAGAUGUGCUCUAACUGGGUUUAGAUUGCAGCGACACGUUAUGCAUCCACAAGGCUUGGUUGCACAUGGAAAAAGAUAGAGAGAGAAAUGUAUACACUGGACCGGGAGAAAAACAUUCAACGAGACGUGAUUGCACGGAUAUAGAACUAGAUAUAAGACAAGAGUUAAAGAAAAAUAAAUGAACUAAGUUUUCUUUUGCACACUAAGCUUGAAUGGAGUUAUAGUAUCUCAGAUCCCAAAUUUAAUUUAUUCCAAGAUGCAGAACAAAUUUGUGAUACUCGUAAUGGUCACAAAGGAACAAAAGUAGAUAAGAAAAAUAACAAAAAUAUAGUGGUCUACCAGAGAGGGCACAUGUGCCUCAAUUGGCCUAGAGCAUAGCGGCUCAUUAUCCUUCCACCGCUGGUGGUGGGCGGUACUCGCUGCUCUGUGAAGCCAGCCUCACGCAAUGUCCGCCACUUUAGGUGUGUGGAUGCAAAAGCUUUUGCCAAGGCACCCUAAACCCACUACACAACUUGGAAUGGGUGGUCCACAGUUUGUAGCACUAGACCCAGGCACAUGCACCAUAAUUGAUAUCCACACUACCUUAUUGCCCCCGCUCGGGUUACAAGCAAU
rnacentral:lncRNA from 1 species